rnacentral:lncRNA from 10 species
CCAAAAGCACUUGGGGGCACUGGGCCCAGUGCAAGAUCCCUCAUGUGAGAGGUAAAACAUUCAUUAUCUGGCCCCUGAGUAUUCAGAUCAAACAUAGCCUGCUGCAUACCCAUCUCCCAGAGUACCUGCACCAAGUCAGUAGAUGAUUGCCAUUUACUCACAAUUUCUGGUAUCUCUCCAACAUCAUUCCAAACAGUUAAUAUGGCUGUCAUCAGCCACUUGGUUAACAUGUGGUCACCUUGCCCUUGUGCCAACCAUUGGCACAGCUGCAGCUGCUGAUGAAGGGAGGGGUGAGAUGUGAUAGAAGCCAGCUUCUCCAUCACGGAGGCAGAGUAAGAAAUGCUGUCAGUCCCCUCAUCCCAAAGAUAGAGUAUCCAGGCUAGGAGGGCCUCCCCUGGGUGCUGCCAGCACUGUUUACCCAUAUCCUGCAACUCAGUGAGGGUAUAAGCACAAUAAGAGGUGUGGUCCACCACUGUGGGUGGUCCCUGGGCUGUCCCAUGGGGUCCCAUCGGCUGCUCAUGUUCUAUCUUCUGAUGGAUCACAGGACGAGCCCAUAGCAAAAGAGCCUCCUCCUCCUCAGGAUCAGGCCACGCAGGAGUGUCCAGCCUGGAGGACGGGCUCAGGGUUGCACCAACAGCUGUUGCCAACUCCUGCUCCAGGAUGUUUAUCUGAGCCUGUAAGUGCCCUGCUUGUGACUGGAGGUCCUUCACCCUCCAGGUUUUGCUCCAAGCUGUGCAUUUGGGCCCCCAGGCACCCAACUUGCACCUGAAGCUCCCAAACCUGCACCGCGUCCAGCAGGGACUGAGCAUGUACUUCACGUAGCACAGUCAGAAACGCCCAUCCGAUUCUGCUGGCGAAGGUGAGGUCUUUCUUGGUGCUGUGAGCUUCCAGCUGCUUCAGUGCCUUCUCACACUCACAGGAGACCCAUCCACUGCCUCCCACAUUUCCACUGGGGCCCAUUCAAGCAGCACCUCUGACACUAGGUACCACAGCCCAUCUGCGGCCACGUAGCCAACCUGAGAACCCCAAAGGCUGACAACCCACUCACCUCAUCAUGCCAACUACGCCAACUGUCAGGUUCAGGGUUAGGUUCCAGCCCAAGUUGAGGGCUGAGGGGAGUGGGUGGACAUGAGACAUGAGGCAAGGAGCUGGAAGAACACUCAAGAGACAGUAGGUAAAUGAGACAUGGCUUUAUUUAGCAACCCCUCACAGGGUCAGUGUUACAUUAAUACACUACACAAACAAUAGUGGCUGGGAGCUGGGUGGGGAGCUUCUCUAUGUUGUGUCUACACGGCUAUGAUUAUAUAAGACAUGGGACUGUGCAGCUGUGCCCCAAUCCCACUGAAUAAACAAGGCUGUUUACCCUGGCCUAUGCCUGCUGCCCAAUGCCUGCUUGGCUGUAGCACAGCCAUGUUCCUUAUAUAAAUUUACCAAAAUAUCAGCAAUUUAUAUUCUAAUACAGUAUGAUAGUUAUCUUUAAUAUUCAUGUGUUACUUUGGUUUAAAAAAUUUUUAAAGGAAAGAUUGGUUUUAGAACACAAGUAAAGUUUAAAUGGAAUCUACCAUCAGAUAACUUGCUCUCAGCUUGGAAAACCCUGGUGUUCCUUCUCCAUGGCACCUAAUAUUGAUCACGUGUCACUUAUUUUAUUCCAUAAGCUAAGUUAAGAAGGAAUUCUGAUCCUACAUCAUGGCUAUCCCCAUGUUAUUUAUACUUUAGGAAGCAAGGUACAUGUGGAAUUAUUUUCACACUAAUGCAGACCAAUUUUUUGUGUUUUUAGGAUAUGCCAAGCACACCUUUAUAAAUGAGAAUUUCUUAUAAUUAAUGAUUCAAACAACAAUAAGACAUCACCAAUAUGUAAUAAAGUAUGACUUGGCACAAGCUACAUUUUUCUCCUUUGGAGACAGAAAUGCAUAUUGACAGGUUCAUCUUUUUUAAAAAGACCAGCAUUUAAAUAUCUAAAGUCACCAAAUAAUCUCUACACAAUAAAAAAUAAGUUGUAAGAAUUGCAUGUGAAAGAAAGUCAACUUCUAAACAAAAAGCCCACCACUGUAACUGCCCAACAGCUUCACCUUGCUUGCUGCCUAGACAGAGCCAGAUUUAUCAAGAUGGGAAUUCCAAUAGGGAAAGAGUUAUUUAUGCAGAGCUGUCUGUGUGGGAGACCAGAGUAUUAUUAUUACUCAAAUCGAUCUCUGAGAACCCAGGGAUCAGAGUUUUUAAGGAUAAUUUGGUAGUUAGGGCACCAGUGAUGUGGGAGUUUAAUUGGUAAGGUUGAAAAUGAACUUAUAGGUAGUUGAAAGUGUCCUCUAGCGCUAAGUCAGUUCCUAGGUGGGGCCACAAGACCAGAUGAGUCAGUUUAUCAGUCUGGGUGGUGCCAGCUGAUCCAUCAGGUGCAGGGUCUGCAAAAUAUCUCAAGCACUGAUAUUAGGUUUUACAAUAGUGAUGUUAUCCCUGGGAGCAAUUUGGGACAUUUAGAAUCUUGCAGCCUUCAGCUGCAUGACUCUUAAACCAUAAUUUCUCAUCUGGUGGCUAAUCUGUUAGUCCUACAAAGGCAGUCUAAUCCCCAGGCAAGAAGGGGUUCGUUUUGGGAAAGGGUUGUUAUAUCUUUGUUUCAAACUAUAAAGUAAGUUUCUCCCAAAAUUAGUUUCACCUACACCCAGGAAUAAACAAGAACAGCUUGGAGGUCAGAAGCAAGAGGGAGUUGGUUAGGUCAGAUCUCUCUCACCGUCUCAGUUAUAAUUUUGCAACGGUGAUUUCACAAUCACCACUGAAAUAUCAUGAUUAAAUAUGUGCUAAAUAGCAAUGACAGAUGCAGACACUUUCUAAAAUAAAGCAAAACAAGGAUUUCAGGAAUGUAUAAUUUAAUUUGCAUCUUAGGGGGUAUAUUGUUAUCUUCCUGCUAAGGAAUUUACAUUCAUAACUUGCCAUGCACAAUUACAAUAUAGAGAGGUCUUGGAUGUUUUUGUUAGUAUUUCUUAAAAAAAUAACACAAAACAUAGAACAAUAACUUCAUAAUGCUGACCACAGUAAGCAAAUCAUUUGGAAUGCCUCUCUUGUCAUGUUAGCAAAGUAAAUAAUGAAUUUGCAAAUUCCAGAGAUUUCUGGGAUUACAGUCGUACUAAUGUUUUGGCCCAGGGUCCCUGCUGGCUCAUACCUUUUCAAGUCAGUGUUUUUGUAGUCACUAUUCCUUCCCACAUAAAUACUUGCACACAGUGAAACAAUGAGACUCCUGGCAUACCCAUAGGCUUUCUUAAUUCUUCUUUUUUUGUUCUGUUUCUGCUUUCCAGCUAAAUGACCGAAAAGGGAUGUUUUACUGUGGAUUCUUGGCUCCCCUACCUUUUAAAUAAUUUUUUUCUUCUUUCUUCAUUUUAACAUAGAUGUUUUUAAAGCUAAACAUUUAUCUUUUCUUUGAAAUUGCCUUUUCAAUUCAUUACAUUGCUGUAUGUUGAUUUCCAUUCUCAAGUCUGUUCUCAGACUAAACAUGGUACACAAUGUUUUGCUAGAAGAGUGGGGUACAAUAUUAUUCAAACUUUAUCCUUCAUCAUUUAUUAUCACUAAUGUACUGAUUUCCUUAAUUAAGCCCUCCCCAGUGGAUCACCUUGUUCACAGUCUUCUAGAGCUGUACUGUUCAAUAUGGUAGCCACUAGCCCCAUGUGGCUUGUAUCUAGAUAAUUUAAAUUUAAAGUAAUUACGUUACCAGAAAGGUGGUUCCAAUCCAGACCCCAAGGAAGGCAGUUCUUGGAUCUCAUGCAAGAAAUAAUUCUGAGUGAGUCCAUAGAGUAAAGUGAAAGCAAGUUCAUUAAGAAAGUAAAGAGAUAAAGAAUAGCCACUACAUAGGCAGAGCAGCCCUGAGGGCUGCUGGUUGCCCACUUUUAUGGUUAUUUCUUGAGCAUAUGCUAAACAAGGUGAGAGACAGGACUAGCUGGAUUUCCUGGGCCGACUAAGAAUCCCUAAGCCUAGCUGGGAAGGUGACCACAUCCACCUUUAAACACGAGGCUUGCAACUUAGCUCACACCUGACCAAUCAGAGAGCUCACUAAAAUGCUAAUUAGGCAAAAACAGGAGGUAAAGAAAUAGCCAAUCAUCUAUUGCCUGAGAGCACAGCAGGAGGGGCAAGGAUGGGGAUAUAAACCCAGGCAUUUGAGCCAGCAACAGCAACCCCUUUGGGUCCCCUCCCUUUGUAUGGGAGCUCUGUUUUCACUCUACUUCAUUCUAUUAAAUCUUGCAACUGCACUCUUCUGGUCUGUGUUUGUUAUGGCUGGAGCUGAGCUUUCGCUCGCCAUCCACCACUGUUGUUUGCCGCUGUCACAGACCCGCCACUGACUUCCAUCCCUCCGGAUCCAGCAGGGUGUCCGCUGUGCUCCUGAUCCAGCGAGGCGCCCAUUGCCACUCCCGAUGGGGCUAAAGGCUUGCCAUUGUUCCUGCAUGGCUGAGUGCCUGGGUUUGUCCUAAUCGAGCCGAACAGUAGUCACUGGGUUCCACAGUUCUCUUCUGUGACCCACGGCUUCUAAUAGAGCUGUAACACUCACCACAUGGCCCAAGAUUCCAUUCCUUGGCAUCCGUGAGGCCAAGAACCUCAUGUCAGAGAACACGAGGCUUGCCACCAUCUUUGAAGCGGCCCGCUGCCAUUUUGGAAGCGCCCAUCACCAUCUUAGGAGCUCUGGAAGCAAGGACCCCCCGGUAACGAAGAGUUGGUCGAAUCCAAAGAUGGGGAGCCUGUGGAUACUGAAGGCCAACUGUACUACAGGGUUAGAAGCAUAAGUCAGUGGAAGACAGAAGAGGCCAAUCUGCUUCUCCAUCAACCCAUUAGGCAAUGACAAAACUGCAACAAUACUGAGCUGAGAAAAGGGAAGUAGCUGCAACUUAAAUAAUCUUCGAACUUUUAAUUCUUACAUGAAAUGAGACCUAUGAACUGCUGAGCAAGGUUGUGUUAAACCAUUGUGUUAAAAUGACAAGAAACAUGUUUUCCUUAAAUUUCAUCUAGGAGAAAGGGAAAUACUGGUCCCAUCGAAUAAAUUAAAAAAACAGCAGUGGGGGAUGGGAAUAAAGUGCAGCCCACAAGCCAUACCAAACAUCAUAGUGAUACUGCCUUUUCAAAAGUGAUAGUUGCAGUUGCAAAAUGAGUGACUCAUUGUGUGUUCAUAGGAACACCUUUUACAUGGUGGAAAGGAAUGUUUAUCAGCAAUAUGAAAGAAAAGAGCUGAGGUUUAAUGAAUAUAUGUGAGGGGAUGGGAGCAGUUAAUGAAUUAUUUCAUAAAAUCUUUCCCAGAUGCUAUGAACUAAGUAUGAUUAUCAUUCUUUUAUAUAUAAGGAAGUCAAAGCGCAAAGAAAAUUAAUGACUUGCUGCAGUUCAAAUGGUUAGGAAGUGGCAGAGCUUGGCUUGAAACCGGGUUCUCACUGAUUCUAAACUCCAUACUCUUCUAUUUUAAACCACUGCUUCCAGACUGAAGCGGGAUCAGAUAUAAAUCCUCUACUCAAUUACUUUAUAAUUUUGCAAUAUCAUAAGACCCUGGAGAGCAUUCGUAAAUCACUACAAUACAAGGCCUUAAGUGCUUUAGGAGAGGUUCUGGAAAGUCAGAAGAGGAAGAAAUUACUUCCAGCUGAGGAUCAGGGAAAACUUCCCAGAGGAAAUUGAAUUUUAAUUUAAUCUCAUAAUUAUGACAGAGCUGAAGCUCUGGUUGGUGUUCCUAGUCUUCUUUCCUAUCUUUGAGAAAUGAGUCAUAUUUACAUUUUUUUAAAUAUUUAAAUAAUUGAUAAGUGUUCAACUAAAUCAAAAGUAACUCAAGUCUUCUUUGUCUUUCUCUUCCUAAAUUUAUCUUUCACACACAGAAAAAAAAAUGUAAGUGAAAAAAGAAGUAAGUAGACUCCCUACCCUCUAUAUGUUUGUAUAUAAGACACAUCCAUUCUUAAAGCAGUUUGGUCUCUCAUUUACUAUUGAAGUUAUCUAAAAAUGAGCAUGAGUACCUAAAUCAUUAUAAAUUUUCUUAAUUCAUGUUUACGUAUGUUUUGACAAAUAUAUUUGUUAUUUCUAGCAUUUUCUUCAUUCUAAAUCUGUAAGCUGUUUAACAUGCUAAAUUGCCUAUAUUAAUUAUAUUCUCACAAGCUAGAGAAAAAAGUAAAUAUCUAAUAAACCUCACUACAUAUAUCAUAAACUAUGAUAUUCAGAGUCCAAAUGUCAAAAAGCAUAUAGUUAAGCAUGAAACUUGAAAUGAUUAAAAAUUAUACAGUAAAACAAGCAUUUUAUUUUGCCUAAAAAUACAUAUUUAAUGAUACAAAUGACAAUAAUCAUUUUUAUAAUUAUAUACUACAACAUUAUAAGUUAAUACAUAAGAAUAAUGGUGCAAAUUUAUGUCACAUCAAAAAUAAAUUUGUAACUUGCAUCACUUUUUAUUAAUCAAGAACCUCAGAGCCCGCUAUGGAAUACUAGAUCAACUCUGUUCUAUGUAAAUUGAUUAAACACAGAAUCCAAAAUUCUGUUUAGCCAACCUAACUCUCCUCAAGAGGCUAAUGCAUCUGGGUCUUAAAUUGAGCCCAGCUGAGCAAUGAGGAUCAGAUGAAUUCAACACUUCAGCUUUGCCCAAUUCGUAUCCAGUCCAUAAAUGUGAUUUAUAAAUCACAUUAAUGAAGAUUUACUUCUUCAACCAGAUUAAUUAAGUAGAAUAAGGAAAACAUUUAACAGUUACUGUGUACAGAUAUUUUGCAUAUAUUAUUUCAUUAAACUUAUGCAUGAUAAAGCUGGGCUUUAAACAUACAUAGUCUGUCCUAGAGCUAAGCACUUAACUACCAUCCUAUGGGUCUAUGAUAGCUAAGCCUUUACAUGAAUUUAAAAAAUGAUUGAUUCUACAAUUUGCAAGAUUUUGCAAUUCUUAUUUUAAUAUAUGUAACAUAGUUUGAAAAUGUACAAAAAGUGAUGGAGGAUUUUCAACCAGAGCUAAUGAUUCACCCUGGAUCCCUUUGAAUUUCAACAUUGCUUCAUAUUUAAGAGCCUUUCCAAUAGUUUACAUUAAACCUAUUGCCUUAAUUCAUGUAGUGAUAAAACCAGAUUUUCUUUCUCACUUUCCCUUCUUUGUACUUUUAUAGAUCCACAAUUGCCAAUGCAAGACUGAGAACGAUGUGAUAUUCAGAGCCCACAAAAAAGCAUUACCCCACUCCAACCACAGGGCUCCUCCCAGCCUUGUCAAUGUGCCAUUCAUGGCCCGUAAUGACUUCCUCUCUCCAUCUCCACCAGUACUUCUAGAGGUUCAACUUUCAUCAACACCUGCAACGAGCCCCUUCCCCGUAUUACAUGAGUCGCAAUGACUGUUCAGUGAUAUCACUGUCCCUGUCAUAUGCAGUUUGUGGGCUGCUGCUGGAGUAAUUUUGCUGCCACUUUGCUAACUUAACUCAUCCAUUCACCCAGUGUUUUACGCCUCCAGGACACCCCAACUACUGUUUCAACAAACACUCUCAUACUUACCCCUAUAUGGACCUUUGUAGUAAUUUCUUUGAGAUGCAGACCCAGGAAUGAAGUUGCAGGGCCAUAGUAUAUGUGCCUAUAUAAUUUGACUAAUUAAGCACUAGAAUGCAUCCCACAGUAUAUGUGCCUAUAUAAUUUGACUAAUGAAGCACUAGAAUACAAGAAGUACAUGAAAAUUCUCACUGUCUAUUUUUAUUCUUGCUUCUAACUUAAUAUCUAUACUUACUGGUUUCCCCGUAUUUUUCAUUGGUUUCUUAAAUAUAGCAAUAUUUGUACUUUGCAAGUUCACACCAUUUUCAUCUUUUGUUGUCUCCCAGCUUCAAAACAGUGUUGAUGCUAUUUAGAAUUUACAUAUUUUGCUUCAUCCAUGCUUUGAAAAAUUAUUAUAAUAUCCUCAAAAUGUGGGGCCCAACAUCAUAUAUUCCUUAUAUAUUUAUGCAUCUUCUUAUUUCAAUACAUUCUUCAAGAGUUUCUCAAAGUGAUUCUUUAUAUGGUCAAUAUUCUGAAGGUUGAUUGAAUCUAACGUCCUUAGUUUUCAAAUGUAAUUACAAUGUUAAGAAGCCUGGGAUCAAUCUAAAUAUUUUUCCUUGGUAGGUAUGCUCAUUCUCUGGAAGCAUUUCCAUUUCUCUUCAUUGUUCUAGAAUUUAAUUGUAAUAUGUCUAAGUAAUAAUAAUAGCUAAUAAUUAACAAGUGAUUAUGUGCAAGGCACUAUUCUAGGGGUUUUACAUAUAUUAACUUAUUUUAUCCUCUCAAUAAUAUUUUAAGAUAGACAUUUUAUUAUCCCGAUUUUAGUGAUGAGUAAACUUUAGUCCCAAAAGUUUAUCUUAUGUGUCAUUUCAAAUAAGAGAUCUGGUAUUUUUCUUUAUUUCUGGGAUAUUAAUAAUCUUUAUUUUUUUUAAUAUGUCUUUUCUUUGCCCCUUCUGCCCACCACCACCACCACAAUCUUUUUUCUGAGAAUCCAAGUAACUGGAUGUUCGCAUUUUUUAUUUCUAUUUUCCAAGUCUUUUAGUUUAUUGUAAUGUUUUCUCUAAUUUUAUGUUUUUCUGUUAUCUUCUGAAAGUGUUCAAUAUAAUCUUCUGACAAACUAAUUCUUUCUUCAGCUGAAUCUUUUGGGUCUUCAGAUCUUUUUUUUUUUUUUAACUAUUAUAGUUCUCAUACUUACUAUCUCCACUUGAUUCAUUCUUAUGACUUCUUCCACAUUUUAACUUUUCUUUUUUUUUGAGAUGGAGUCUCACUGUGCUGCCAAGGCUGGAGUACAGUGGUGUGAUCUCAGCUCACUGCAACCUCAGCCUCCUGGGUUCAAGUGAUUCUACUGCCUCAGCCUCCCAAGUAGCUGGGAUUACAGGCUCACACGACUAUGCCCGGCUACUUUUUGUAUUUUUAGUUGAGACAGGGUUCUACCAUGUUGGCCAGGCUGGUCUCAAACUCCAGACCUCAGGUGAUCCAUCCACCUUGGCCUCCGAAAGUGCUGGGAUUACAGGUGUGAGCCACUGCACUCAGCCAUUACCAACUUUCUUUUUCCUUAGAGUAUUUCGGUUAAACUUAUUUUAUAUUCUUAGUCCAUCUUUUCCAAUAAUUCUCUUUCAUAUGAUAUUAUUUUUAGCUUGCCACCUUCCUUUUAAAGAUUAUUGUCCCUAGUAUCUAGAAGUUUUAUCCCCCAUGAGCUCAUGACACUACCUGAUAAUAUAAAUUAGGGAAGAGCCUACACUGUAUUUCCGCUUUUGAGUUUAAUCACAAAGAGGAUGAGACUAAAUGGGGAGCCUUGAAGUACCAAAACCUGUCCCCAUUACGUCUGUGCCACUCCACCAACAAAUCUCCUGAAUCAUAUUUUUCAAGAUGGUGCAGUCUUUUUAAAACAAAAUCUAUUAGCUCUAGCAUUUGAAGAGAAUUUAUAAGAUCCCUGAUAGCUGGCAUCUGUUUUAUUAGUGUCCCACACUAGCAGAGACUUUGCAGACCCAAAUAUUACCUUCCUGGCAUUUCGAGGUCCAGGCUAUUGCUACAGAAUUCUGUGACAAUUGUGAGGUAAGAACAGUCCCGAAGUGAUGGACCAACGAGUCAGAGGCAAGAUAACUGAAAGCCUCUGUCCCCACUGUCUUCCGAGAGCUGUGGUUUGACCAGGCAGCCCCCUAUGCCUCUUCCAGACUCAGGCUUCUCUCUGCUUCUGCAGUUUCUCCAGGUAGAUUUGAGGGGGCAGAGAGUUAGCGGUGAACUAGCAGCCUAUUCUAGUUCACUCUCUUGUUUUAGCCUUCCAGCUUCCUGACUCUCUAAUCAGUCAGCAUUUCCUUUCCACCUGUAACAGGCUUCAUGACCUUCAAGCCCUUUUUCUCUAAUCAUUGAAACUUCUAGAACCGUAGACACUAAUAUACAGAUACAUUCUUUAAAUUAUUCUAAAUAGAUGGUUAAAACAUUACAAUCCGGAACUUAGAUCCCAAAUUUCC